AUUGAACGCUGGCGGCAUGCUUUACACAUGCAAGUCGAACGGUAACAGGCCGCAAGGUGCUGACGAGUGGCGAACGGGUGAGUAAUGCAUCGGAACGUGCCCAGUCGUGGGGGAUAACUACUCGAAAGAGUAGCUAAUACCGCAUACGAUCUAUGGAUGAAAGCGGGGGACCGUAAGGCCUCGCGCGAUUGGAGCGGCCGAUGUCAGAUUAGGUAGUUGGUGGGGUAAAGGCUCACCAAGCCAACGAUCUGUAGCUGGUCUGAGAGGACAACCAGCCACACUGGGACUGAGACACGGCCCAGACUCCUACGGGAGGCAGCAGUGGGGAAUUUUGGACAAUGGGCGCAAGCCUGAUCCAGCAAUGCCGCGUGCAGGAAGAAGGCCUUCGGGUUGUAAACUGCUUUUGUACGGAACGAAACGGCUCUGGUUAAUACCCGGGGCUAAUGACGGUACCGUAAGAUUAAGCACCGGCUAACUACGUG
rnacentral:rRNA from 1 species